rfam:Medicago truncatula strain A17 chromosome 4, whole genome shotgun sequence.
AAACAGCCCCCUAUGUUUUGAUUCUUUGGCAGUUUUGGACCCCCAAGGCAAAAAAAAAUAAAAAAUUGACACGUGGCACCUUACUUAGGGUGCCACGUCAGCGUUGACCGAGUCAACAAUGGACUGGGGGUCCAAAACUGCCAAAGAAUCAAAACAUAGGGGACUGUUU